rnacentral:rRNA from 1 species
UAACACAUGCAAGUCGAGGGAGAGGUUACCUUCGGGUAACCAAAACCGGCGCACGGGUGCGUAACGCGUAUACAAUCUGCCUUUCACAUAGGGAUAGCCCGAAGAAAUUUGGAUUAAUACCUAAUGGUAUAUAGGAGCGGCAUCGUUUUUAUAUUAAAGCUACGGUGGUGAAAGAUGAGUAUGCGUUCUAUUAGCUAGUUGGAGAGGUAACGGCUCCCCAAGGCGACGAUAGAUAGGGGUUCUGAGAGGGAUGUCCCCCACACUGGUACUGAGAUACGGACCAGACUCCUACGGGAGGCAGCAGUGAGGAAUAUUGGACAAUGGUCGGAAGACUGAUCCAGCCAUGCCGCGUGCAGGAUGAAGGUCCUAUGGAUUGUAAACUGCUUUUGUAAGGGAAGAAUAAGGAGUACGAGUACUUUGAUGACGGUACCUUACGAAUAAGCAUCGGCUAACUCCGUGCCAGCAGCCGCGGUAAUACGGAGGAUGCGAGCGUUAUCCGGAAUCAUUGGGUUUAAAGGGUCCGUAGGCGGGCUGAUAAGUCAGAGGUGAAAGCGCUUAGCUCAACUAAGCAACUGCCUUUGAAACUGUCAGUCUUGAAUGAUUGUGAAGUAGUUGGAAUGUGUAGUGUAGCGGUGAAAUGCUUAGAUAUUACACAGAACACCGAUAGCGAAGGCAUAUUACUAACAAUUUAUUGACGCUGAUGGACGAAAGCGUGGGGAGCGAACAGGAUUAGAUACCCUGGUAGUCCACGCUGUAAACGAUGGAUACUAGCUGUUUGGAGCAAUCUGAGUGGCUAAGCGAAAGUGAUAAGUAUCCCACCUGGGGAGUACGCACGCAAGUGUGAAACUC